rnacentral:rRNA from 1 species
GGAUUCCCCCAGUACGGCGAGUGAAGCGGGAAGAGCUCAAGCUUAAAAUCUCCAUACUUGUAUGGCGAAUUGUAGUCUAUUGAGGCUGUUGUCAGCAUCGCGAUUGGGGACAAGUCCCUUGGAAAAGGGCAGCAUGGAGGGUGAUACUCCCGUCUCUGCUCCAAUCUGCGGUGUGUACGAUACGCUUUCUUUGAGUCGAGUUGUUUGGGAAUACAGCUCAAAGUAGGUGGUAAAUUCCAUCUAAAGCUAAAUAUUGGUGCGAGACCGAUAGCGAACAAGUACCGUGAGGGAAAGAUGAAAAGAACUUUGAAAAGAGAGUUAAAGAGUACCUGAAACUGUUGAAAGGGAACCGUAUCGUUUCCAGUGUUGUAUCCUAUGCAUAUUUCAUUCGUGGAGUAAUUUACGGGUGCCCUGUGCAUGGGUGUGACGUCAGGGUCAGUUUGUAUGCUGCGGGAGAUGGUCAGUGAGGAGGUGCGUCACUUCSGUGAAAGUUAUAUCUCGCUGUCUAGUA